GGGUUGGGGCACCCCGAGGACUCCAGCGCGCACCGAAAGGAUUAUUCGGGGAGAUCCUCGGGGUGCCCGGCCCUGGGGAGCUCAAAGCAAGGUCCCUGCAAUGGAUUCAGGCAUUGCUGAGAGUAUCCCAGGGGUCCCUGUCCCUGCUAGACAUGGAGCUCUCUAAUGGACUGUAAUUGGGUUCUAAAAGUGGUGCUCCAAGUGCCAAAGAAGUGUGGGAUUGGGAUUAAUAAAUGAGCAGUGAUGGUCCAAUUGGCUGUUUUCUCUUGAAUAUAAUGGUAAGAGCUGCAGGAGUGCCAGGUGGGUGUUCCAGUCCCCAGCAUUUGUUUUGCACAUGUCCUGGUCAGACACAGGUCCAACUUCCUCAGUCCUUAACCCAGUAGAGGGAGAAUUAAGGACUGGCAGUGUUAAGGUGAUUGGUGUGACAGGGGUUAAACUGGGAAAACAUUGGGGAAUUCCUCAGUUUGUCUGUUUGCCAAACUCACCCAAACCUGUGCUACGAAGAGAUGGACUGGAAAAGUUGAGGCAGAAAUGAAAUUGAAAACUGGGGAUGUUGAAACUGUAAUUGCUGGCACUAAAUGUGUCCAAGCAGCAGCUCUUGUUGUGCAGGGAAUAACUCCUGUCAGCAGCAAGGUCCCGACUGAAGUGGCAGCUGCAGUUGUUCCUGUGGUGUGGGCCAGUGGAAUUGCAGGAAAGUGGGAGAGGGCAGAACCUGUAGGUAUUACCCCUGAUGUGGGAUCUCUCCUGGUAAGGCAAAGCCAGUAUCCUUUAAAAUCAGAAUGCCAGACUGGAUUGGUUGCAGUAACAGCUAAAUUUGCUCCUCCUGGUUUGCUUGUAGGAUGUGAAUGCAAGAAUCUGCCAAGAAAACCAAUGUCCAAGAUGAUUGAUUAGUGCAGGACCUGAGAGAACCAUCUUCAAUGACAACCUGAAGCAGUUUCCAGUAUCGGAUUGCAAAGAUGGCCUUUGCUGCAUCUCCUUGAGCAAGGAAAGCCAAGAAACCUUUGCUUUGGCAGGAGAAAAUCUGGAAAGCGGGAAGGAAGAAAAGAAGCCCCCUGAUUCCUCCCUGAGCCCCAGACAGCCCAUGAACUGCCUUCCUGGGAAUGGUAGGACAGGAUGGACUCUGGAUUGCUCCCUCUGCAUGUGUGGAACUCCAGGAACUCCUGGUGCCGCCUGGGCCGAUGGAUUGGACGCCCCAGCCCCUCCGUUCCUGCCCAGCCACUGGGUCCGUGUCCAGUGGUGGCACUGCCAGCCCUGCAGUGGGAUGUAGUCUGGAAACUGCACAGAGCUGAGCCAAGGGAUUGAAAGGGACCAAGCAAGGGAGGUGAAGAAAGAA